rnacentral:rRNA from 1 species
AUUGAACGCUGGCGGCAGGCCUAACACAUGCAAGUCGAGCGGUUGACGGGAGCUUGCUCCCUGAUUCAGCGGCGGACGGGUGAGUAAUGCCUAGGAAUCUGCCUAUUAGUGGGGGACAACGUUUCGAAAGGAACGCUAAUACCGCAUACGUCCUACGGGAGAAAGCAGGGGACCUUCGGGCCUUGCGCUAAUAGAUGAGCCUAGGUCGGAUUAGCUUGUUGGUGAGGUAAUGGCUCACCAAGGUGACGAUCCGUAACUGGUCAGAGAGGAUGUUCAGUCACACUGGAACUGAGACACGGUCCAGACUCCUACGGGAGGCAGCAGUGGGGAAUAUUGGACAAUGGGCGAAAGCCUGAUCCAGCCAUGCCGCGUGUGUGAAGAAGGUCUUCGGAUUGUAAAGCACUUUAAGUUGGGAGGAAGGGUUGUAGAUUAAUACUCUGCAAUUUUGACGUUACCGACAGAAUAAGCACCGGCUAACUCUGUGCCAGCCGCCGCAGUAAUAC